rnacentral:rRNA from 1 species
AUUGAACGCUGGCGGCAUGCCUUACACAUGCAAGUCGAACGGUAACAGGUCUUCGGAUGCUGACGAGUGGCGAACGGGUGAGUAAUACAUCGGAACGUGCCCGAUCGUGGGGGAUAACGGAGCGAAAGCUUUGCUAAUACCGCAUACGAUCUACGGAUGAAAGCAGGGGACCGCAAGGCCUUGCGCGGACGGAGCGGCCGAUGGCAGAUUAGGUAGUUGGUGGGAUAAAAGCUUACCAAGCCGACGAUCUGUAGCUGGUCUGAGAGGACGACCAGCCACACUGGGACUGAGACACGGCCCAGACUCCUACGGGAGGCAGCAGUGGGGAAUUUUGGACAAUGGGCGCAAGCCUGAUCCAGCCAUGCCGCGUGCAGGAUGAAGGCCUUCGGGUUGUAAACUGCUUUUGUACGGAACGAAAAGACUCUGGUUAAUACCUGGGGUCCAUGACGGUACCGUAAGAAUAAGCACCGGCUAACUACGUGCCAGCAGCCGCCGUAACAC